CUCCUCCCUGGGCCUUGUCUUCCCGCUGCCCUGGGACGCUCGUGGGGCCACAUCAAUGACGAACACGUCAUCCUCUGACUUCACCCUCCCGGGGCUUCUGGUGGAGGGUGAGGCUACGAGAAUCGUAUUCACAGUGAUCUUGGCUGUUUUCGCAGUGGCUGUAACUGCAAAUUUGGUCAUGAUAUUCUUGGUUCGGGUGGACUGUCGCCUCCACACCCCAUGGGCUUUCUGCUCGGCCAGCUGCCCCUCAUGGACACCCUUUUCAUCGGCACCACUGCCCCAGAGCUCCUGGUGGACGUGGUUCCUAGAGAACCAUUUCCUUUGUGGCCUGUGGCAUCCAGAUCUUCUGCUACGUGACCAUGAUUGGUCUGAGUUCUUCCUACUGGGCCUCAUGGCCUAUGACCGCUGUGUGGCUGUCUGUAACCCUCUGAGAUACCCAGUCCUGAUGGACCUCAAGAUGUGUCUCUUGCUGGCUGCUCGUGCCCUGUUUGGUGGCUCCCUCUCUGGCUUUCUGCUCACUCCCAUCACCAUGACUGUCCCUGACUGUGGCUCCUGCAGUAUCGACCAUUUUUUCUGUGAGAUCCCAGCGGUUCUCAAACUGGCCUGUGCGGACACGUCCUUGUAUGAAACUCGGAUGUGCAGCUGCUGUGUCCUCAUGUUGCUCAUCCCCAUCUCGAUCGUCUCCACCUCCUACUUCCUCGUCUUGUUAACUGUCCACUGCAUGCGCUCUGCUGAA